GAUGAAGAACGCAGCGAAAUGCGAUAAGUAAUGUGAAUUGCAGAAUUCAGUGAAUCAUCGAAUCUUUGAACGCACAUUGCGCCCGCCAGUAUUCUGGCGGGCAUGCCUGUUCGAGCGUCAUUACAACCCUCAGGCCCCCGGGCCUGGCGUUGGGGAUCGGCAGAAGCCCCCUGUGGGCACACGCCGUCCCUCAAAUACAGUGGCGGUCCCGCCGCAGCUUCCAUUGCGUAGUAGCUAACACCUCGCAACUGGAGAGCGGCGCGGCCAUGCCGUAAAACACCAAACUUCUGAAUGUUGACCUCGAAUCAGGUAGGAAUACCCGCUGAACUUAAGCAUAUCAAUAAGCGGAGGA
rnacentral:misc_RNA from 1 species